GGGUUGCUCCUAGUACGAGAGGACCGGAGUGGACGCAUCACUGGUGUUCGGGUUGUCAUGCCAAUGGCACUGCCCGGUAGCUAAAUGCGGAAGAGAUAAGUGCUGAAAGCAUCUAAGCACGAAACUUGCCCCGAGAUGAGUUCUCCCUGAGACCUUGAGUCUCCUGAAGGAACGUUAAAGACGAUGACGUUGAUAGGUCGGGUGUGUAAGCGCAGCGAUGCGUUGAGCUAACCGAUACUAAUGAACCGUGAGGCUUAACCUUACAACGCCGAAGGUGUUU
rnacentral:rRNA from 1 species